rnacentral:tRNA from 1 species
UCCUGGUGGUUCAGAGGGUAAAGAAAUCUGCCUGCAAUGCAGAAAACCUGGAUUCGAUCCCUGGGUCAGGAA